AGGAAUUCACAUUAUGUAAACUAGAGAUUGUGUCCCAUGCUGCAGAAUGACGUGAGAGAUGACCUUGAUACACACAGUGCCCUACAUAAAAUGUAUGUAGACUGUCAUCUGAGAGCAACAAAUUAACAGUGUGUUCUUCCGUGUGCAAUUACAUCCUUAUCUAUAUUACAAUGAAUCUGCUGACACCAGCUACUAUGUAAAUAAGAUGAAUUUAAAAGGGUGAGAAGAGGCUUGGUUGUUGGAAGUGACAGAUUAUCAAAUCCUCACCUGCAGAAGGAAGUUGAGAUCGAGCUACAGGAUGGGGCACUAAUAAGUGCAACAGGAUGAGACUGUAAGGGCUGAAGACAUCAUCUUCCUGCUCCAUAUCUCCCUCGUUCUUCCGUUGACACAAUCGGCGACAUUUUCCUUCCUGUUUCGUCGCCGCACAUGAAGAAAUUUGUGAAUUUUGAUUGGCAGAAAAAUCACUAUUUAUAAUGGGGCCAUUUUCAGGGGCAGGAUAACAGGGGCUAGCCCUCUUGAUUCGCAAUCGAUAAGGACAAGCUGCUGUGUACAAAGACAGGAUUAUUUUACACGAGAUGCAUGACUGCUUGUGAUCAUAUCAGCCGGGGACAUAAACCCCGUAUCAACAUUCUCAAAAUAAAGACACAUUUGUUCCUGCAUGGUA